UACGUAGGGUGCGAGCGUUAAUCGGAUUUACUGGGCGUAAAGCGUGCGCAGGCGGCCCGUUAAGACAGGUGUGAAAUCCCUGGGCUCAACCUGGGAAUUGCGCUUGUGACUGGCGGGCUAGAGUGCGGUAGAGGCGGGUGGAAUUCCUGGUGUAGCGGUGAAAUGCGUAGAGAUCAGGAGGAACACCGAUGGCGAAGGCAGCUCGCUGGGCCUGUACUGACGCUGAUUCACGAAAGCGAGGGGAGCAAACAGG
rnacentral:rRNA from 1 species